rnacentral:misc_RNA from 1 species
GGACUACUGGGGUUUCUAAUCCCUUUCGCUCCCCUAGCUUUCGUCCCUGAGUGUCAGAUACAGCCCAGUAGCACGCUUUCGCCACCGAUGUUCUUCCCAAUCUCUACGCAUUUCACCGCUACACUGGGAAUUCCUGCUACCCCUACUGCUCUCUAGUCUGCCAGUUUCCACCGCCUUUAGGUCGUUAAGCAACCUGAUUUGACGGCAGACUUGGCUGACCACCUGCGGACGCUUUACGCCCAAUAAUUCCGGAUAACGCUUGCCUCCCCCGUAUUACCGCGGCUGCUGGCAC